UACGUAGGGUGCGAGCGUUAAUCGGAAUUACUGGGCGUAAAGCGUGCGCAGGCGGUCCGCAAAGUCUGAUGUGAAAGCCCCGGGCUCAACCUGGGAACUGCAUUGGAAACUAACGGGCUCGAGUGUGGCAGAGGGGGGUGGAAUUCCACGUGUAGCAGUGAAAUGCGUAGAGAUGUGGAGGAACACCGAUGGCGAAAGCACUCUGCUGGGCCGACACUGACACUGAGAGACGAAAGCUAGGGGAGCGAAUGGG
rnacentral:rRNA from 1 species